rnacentral:lncRNA from 1 species
GCCUGGUAAAAGCUUCACUUUUCAUACGCCAAGUCACAAAAUAUGGAUCAUAUAUGAUAUUUGAGCAAAGAGGAUAAAAAAAGGUUCUUUUGUAGCAGGGAUUAGAAACAGAAAUAAAAAAGGAGGAAGUGAUACUUUCUUUCCUGUGAUGCAUCUUUCUGUCAUUUCUACUUUAAAGGGAAUACAUCAGGGGAAUACAUCAGUUCCAGGUAUCCAGGAAAAAAAAAAAAAAAAAAAAAAAAAAAAAAAAAGAGAGAGAAAAAAAGAGAGAGAGGAAAAAAAAAGACCGAAUUAAGCUUGUUUCAGCAAAUUAAAAAUCCUUUACAAAUCAGUGGUUUGGAGAGCUUGUAGGGUUCACUACUUGACUUCCAAAGAAAGAAAGAACGGCAUCUGUAAGGGUGAAAAGUCAUUCCCUCUGGGCUUUGAUUUAUUAAGAGAAAGGUUAUUCCAAAACAGCCUGUUAUUCCUCCAGCCAAAACCACCACUGGCAGUUUUCCCUCCUGGCCUUCUAUGGGAGAUCCCUUCUAAGACUUGGAGAGGACUUCUAAGACUUGACCCCGGGCGUGAACAGCCAACACCCCAGUAGCUCUCCACUAGUGAGCAGCUCUCACAUCUUACAGUUCAGAUGCAGGCAAACAAGGCACAGAGAGGCCCGGCACACAUACUGGAAGACAGCAUUGGUCCAACAACUGGUCAGUGACAGAGGAGAGGGAGCAACAUUAAAGCAUAUGAAAUAAAUGCGAGCAGCAGCAACGAAUGAAGAAGUAACCGUGUCCCAGGCAGCUGCUGACACGCACAGGAGCGCAGGCUGCUGGAGAUUUUCACUGCCAGGGAUCUGGCAGCAAUCACACUAAAUGUUGUGAGCUGUUGACAGCUGAAGAUGAGCAGCUUAGGCAGAAGGAGAAAUCCUCUGGACUUACACUCACUGCCUAAACCAAGGAUGGGGGAACCAGUCUCCUGGGGCUCUGCAGAAUGGAGGUGAAUGGUCCUACCUGCAUCCCAUACAUCUCUGUGCCCUAGGGGAGACAAGACCAGGGCAGGUGGACACAGGACUGAGUAAUUCACAUUCACCACAGAAAGGUGAUCUGGCUGAAACUGAUGGGUCAGUGUCAGUUACAGAGCACCUGAAACUCAGUACAGGGAGCUGUCCUUUCUCUGGCAGCCGUGCUUGCAGUCAGCACAUGAUCCACUUCGUAGCCAGCUCCUGCCCAGCACCUACCAGUGAUCUGGUGUUUGUCUCAGCUGGUUCUGCUGUGCGAGAAGACAGAGUGGGAUGUCACAGACUGGCUCAUUCCAUCUGUGGCCUUUCUGCUGCCAUCAGCAGCAGGGCUGUGCAUGUCUGUCUGAUCUAG